rnacentral:misc_RNA from 1 species
CUUGGUCAGAGGAAGUAAAAGUCGUAACAAGGUUUCCGUAGGUGAACCUGCGGAAGGAUCAUUAACACGUAUCCAACGUAUCAACCAUUACUACGAACUGGGCUCCCUGGGAUCAGACUCGAAGCUGAGAAUGACAUGCUAUAGUGGAUUUGCAUUCAUUCUCUGUAGUCAUCCUUUGAGAUGACAAGCUUAGGACUUGAUCUUCAGGCUAUUUUCGCUAACCUCAUAGCUAUACCACUAUGAGCUUGGUUAGUGAAUCCCAUACCAAUAUUCACCCUAUUUUACACAUUUGACUAAUAUCAGUCGAACGAGAGAAAUCUCGAUCGCACUAAGUUAUUCUAACUAAGCACAACUCUUAGCAAUGGAUAUCUUGGUUCUC